rnacentral:lncRNA from 1 species
GGUGUCGAACGGAUUCCUUUUGUCACUCUGUCAGCUGGAAGUGGUGCUACUGGUUCCGUGGCGGGAGGGCAACUUUGUUUGCGACAAAUGAGGCACCGCUUGAUAACCUUUUUUACGGCCUGGCGCCCCUCGGAUGAUCCAAUACGACUCUCGCAACUGCGCCAGGGUGUCGCGAUCGGAACAGCA